rnacentral:pre_miRNA from 1 species
CUGUCCUCUUGAGUUCCCCUGAUCACUUCACUGGGGGCUGAUCUUCUUUGGACCCUUGAUAAUAGGGAGGGUCCCUGACCUACUGAAGUGUUUGGGGGAACUCUGGCUGGCGC